GCUGGGCAUGGUGGCGCGUGCCUGUAAUCCCAGCUACUCAGGAGGCUGAGGCAGGAGAAUUGCCUGAACCCAGGAGGUGGAGGUUGCGGUAAGCCGAGAUCAUGCCAUUGCACUCCAGCCUCCAGCCUGGGUAACAAGAGCGAAACUCUGUCUCAA
ensembl:misc_RNA Metazoa_SRP Metazoan signal recognition particle RNA